rnacentral:rRNA from 1 species
GGGUUGUGAGGUUAAGCGACUAAGCGUACACGGUGGAUGCCCUGGCAGUCAGAGGCGAUGAAGGACGUGCUAAUCUGCGAAAAGCGUCGGUAAGGUGAUAUGAACCGUUACAGCCGGCGAUGUCCGAAUGGGGAAACCCAGUGUGAUUCGUCACACUAUCGUUAACUGAAUACAUAGGUUAACGAGGCGAACCGGGGGAACUGAAACAUCUAAGUACCCCGAGGAAAAGAAAUCAACCGAGAUUCCCCCAGUAGCGGCGAGCGAACGGGGAGCAGCCCAGAGUCUGAAUCAGCUUGUGUGUUAGUGGAACGGUCUGGAAAGUCCGACGGUACAGGGUGAUAGUCCCGUACACCAAAAUGCACAGGUUGUGAACUCGAAGAGUAGGGCGGGACACGUGGUAUCCUGUCUGAAUAUGGGGGGACCAUCCUCCAAGGCUAAAUACUCCUGACUGACCGAUAGUGAACCAGUACCGUGAGGGAAAGGCGAAAAGAACCCCGGCGAGGGGAGUGAAAAAGAACCUGAAACCGUGUACGUACAAGCAGUGGGAGCACC